UUUCCCCAGAAAGAUAUAAAAGGGUCGGGGAAAAGUUUUAAUUUAAAAUAUUUAAUUAUUAUAGGAUGUUCCUUUUUCAUUAAUUUUUUUGAGGAUAAGCUCAGAAAAAAGCUAAGAUUUUUUUAAUUAAAAUUGCUAUGUAGGCUUAAAAUUGGCCACCAUAAAAGUUUGUUAUAAAAUAGUGAUCUUUUAAUUCUAAAAUAAAUAUAUUAUAAUCUAAUUUUUUAUGGGGAUAAAAACCUUAACUGAAACAAGUUUUAUACCUAUGCUAGAAUGAGUAUUAAAAAUCAAUUAUAAAAGAAAUUUAUACAUAUUUUCUUCAAAGAAAAAUUUUUUAAAAACUAAUUAGUUAGAAGGAAUUCGGCAAGUUUAGUUGCUUCGCCUGUUUAUCAAAAACAUGGCUCUUUGCUAUAUGAAUAUAAAGAGUCGAGCCUGCCCAGUGAAUUUUUAACGGCCGCGGUACUCUGACCGUGCAAAGGUAGCAUAAUCAUUUGCCUUAUAAUUGAAGGCUAGUAUGAAUGGUUUGACGAGAGCAACACUGUCUCCUUUUUAUUUUCAAGAACUUAACUUUUAGGUGAAGAGGCCUAAAUUUUAUUGAAGGACAAGAAGACCCUGUCGAGCUUAAAAGACAUCAUAGGGGCUUAAUAUAUUUUUAAAUAAAUUUUCUAUUAGGCUUUUUAGUUGGGGCGACUAAGGAACAAAAAAAGCUUCUUUUUGAUAAUAAACAAUCAUGUUUGGAUCCGGUAGUAAGCGAUUAAAGAAAUUAGUUACCGCAGGGAUAACAGCAUAAUCUCUCUUAAGAGACCUAAUCGAAAGAGGGGGUUGUGACCUCGAUGUUGGACUAGAAUAUCCUGAAGAUGCAGAAG
rnacentral:rRNA from 1 species